CAAUCAGCACCUGCUAUUACGCGUUCCUCCUAACUGACCUCCGCACCUGCUUCCGACAGUUUGAAUUAGGAUUUCUCAUGGAUGUAUUGUGAUUCUUAUAUACGGUCUAUGAUUAUGAUCCACACCUUAUCGGAACCGAAGAAGCCUGGAUACUAAAACAAGCUUUGGAGCUGCUUUUUUGUCGAACACGAGUGAGGCAGGACGCUGAACACACCUGCAGCCCGAAGGUGUCACCAGUUCGUCCACGACAUCGUCCACAAUCGCAGAGACAUGGUCCAUGAUCGGAGAGACAUUGUUGAGGAUGAGGGAGACAUCGUCCACGAUCAGAGACAUUGUCCAUGAUUGUAGAGACCUUGUCAAAGACGAGGGAGACGUUGUCCGUGAUCAGAGACAUUGUCCAUGCUUCGUAGAGACCUUGCGAUAGAAUCGGCGGAGACGGGGGUCACCGAUUUGACGGCAUUGCCCGCGAUCAGGGACAUUGUCAAAGGUCACAGAGACAGCGUCUGAUGAUCUCAGAGACAUCGUCCACGAUCACAAAGGCAUAGUUCAUGAUCACAGAGACAUUGUCCAUAAUCUCAGAGACAUUGUCCGCGAUCACAGAGACGUAGUCCGCGAUCACAGAGACGAAGUCCAUGAUCAGAGAGUCGUCGUACAAUGAAGAAGUUCUUUCAGACCAAGACAGAGGCCUCCAGGUGUCACCACUUCGUCCAUGACAUCGUCCAUGAUCGCAGAGACAUGGUCCAUGAUCGGAGAGACAUUGUUGAGGAUGAGGGAGACAUCGUCCACGAUCAGAGACAUUGUCCAUGAUCGCAGAGACCUUGCCAAAGACGAGAGAGACGUUGUCCGUGAUCAGAGACAUUGUCAAUGCUUCGUAGAGACCUUGCGAUAGAAUCGGCGGAGACGGGGGUCACCGAUUUGACGGCAUUGCCCGCGAUCAGGGACAUUGUUGAUGGUCACAGAGACAGCGUCUAUGAUCUCAGAGACAUCGUCCACGAUCACAAAGACAUAGUCCGUGAUUGCAGACAUUGUCCAUAAUCUCAGAGACAUUGUCCGCGAUCACAGAGACAUAGUCCACGAUCACAGAGAUGUAGUACAAGAACACAGAGAGACGUCGUACAAUGAAGUUGUUCUUUCAGACCAAGA